rnacentral:tRNA from 1 species
GGGGUUAUAGCUCAGUGGUAGAGCGUGUGCUUGGCGUGCAUGAGGUCCUGGGUUCCAGCCCCAGUGCCUCUG